ensembl:lncRNA
CGGUGGAGUGUCGCACAACGGAAUGUGUCUGCUACUCCCGACUUAUCGCAUGGGCAACGGCGCUGGUGCGCAAGGGUGGAAGAACGUGGCCCUGCAGUUGAGUCAGACAAAAGGGCUUUGCGUUCUUUGAAGGGGAGUGGCCGCAUGUAGAAGAGUUGACGACCUCGCCUUGCCUCGUCGGUAGACCUGUCUCCUAAAGAUGCUGUGGAAGUCUCUGGCUAAUGAAGCCCUGUGCUCGAAACCUCAACAUGAAGCUUGAGAAUGAAGCUUCCUCUGUACUCCAUUUGUUGAGAAAACGACACUCCCCGUCGGGUAGAGAGGAGGGAGAGAAAGAAAGUUCCAAGCAGUGUGCGCUCUGGACACUGGUGCCUGUGGUGGUGCCCGUGUGCUGCCCGUCUGGUGCCCGUGUGGUGCCCGUGUGGUGCCCGUGUGGUGCCCGUGUGCUGCUCAGUAGUCAGUGUAGAUCCUGUGUUGUAAUCAGCAGCUACAUCUGGCUACUGGGUCUCUCAUGGCGCACCCUCCGCUGCCCUCCGCCCCAUUCCUCCAUGAUUGUGCACUGUGUUAUCACUGACCUCGGAUGUCAUCAUGUGGCCCGGCAGAAGAAGACACACACACACCCACACUUACACACACACACACACACUCACUCUCCGGCAGGAAUUACAGUAGGCACUGGGCUUGGUUGAGUGUCGUUGCUCCUGUGACACUUUUUUUUUCUAAUACUGUUCCUCUUUUUUUUUCCUUCUUCUCCUUUUAGUGAAUGUGUUGCGCAGUUUACAAAUUUUGUCCUCACAGACUUCUUCUUCUUAUUCAUUCACUCUCUCUCUCUCUGUCAUUCACUCUCUCUCUCUGUCAUUCACUCUAUCUCUCUCUCCUCUCCUUCACUCUAUCUAUCUAUUUGCGUGUAUCUGCGCUAUCGACAAGCCAUCAGUUUGUCGAUUUCUUUUCUUUGAUUUCCAACGCAAUGCUCCUUUCCCAUUAAAGUGAUGAGAAACUGUCAGAGACGGUAGAGAAGAGAGCCUCCCCAGCUCUGAUUGAGACAAAGUGGCUAUUCGAACAGCAACAAAAGCAGCACUGCAGCAUUGGCCCCAAACAUUUAUAUUCCCAAAGGAGUCAUUUGAAUGAUUAAAAACACAAUGGGCGAGUCAUGAUGUCUCACUCUCAGUGAUUAUUUUGUCAGACGUACAGUUGAAGUUUGUUUUUUGAACGUCAUCUGUAAUGUUUUUUUUUUUUUUUUUCCAUCAUCCAUUUUCUUUUUCAUAUUGAGAUCUAACAUUGAUCAAUCUAGAAUGCAAGCGCAAAAAAAAAAAAGAGCGAAAUGAUUGUUUUAAGAAUGAUGAUUUGGGAGGGCGCCGAAGGCGCUGAAGGCACAACCAGUUUUUUUGGCUCCAAUCCUGGACCUGGCAUACAAUGUAGAUUUCUGUGUGGAUCAAGCUACAGCUACAUUGUCUGCUGGGUUUCAGGUGGUCGAAACAAUCCCCUCGUCGUGUGCUCCCCCUUCCAUAAAUCAAGCACGGUAAGUUCCUCUUCAUUGAUAUUCACAGUGCUUCUUUACUCUGCUGACCAAAAAAAAACAAUAAAAGUAAUGAAGAAGUCA